AAGUUCACAAUGGUAUAUCAGUCAAACUAGAAAUUACGGAUACAUGAUAUUUGUGUUAUUAAUUUUAGGCGUAAUGGUGGUGUGAUUGCGUUAUACUGGGCACCUCAAUCAUUUUCUUCGAGCCUGGCGUCAGAAUAAAUGCUCCUUAUUACCGGGAAAACAUUUUGAAAGCUGCUUUGGAGUCGUGGACACGCAAACAUAUCGGUCGUGGACCAUGCAUGUUUCCACGAGACUUGUCACCAUCACAUAAAGCGUGUGCAAACCAAAAGUGACUCAAGACUGGGUCGAAUCUUGAGAACCAACCACCAUGGAUUCUGCAAAAAAUUUAUACAAAGCUCGAAGAUAACGAUUGAGGUGCCCAAUAUACCGCAAACACACUAUUAAGCCUAAAAUUCAUUACUCCGAAACCAAUGGCUGUGGUGGCUUGUAAACUAUGUCAUUGGUAUAAAAUAGCAAACAAACUCGAGACAAAUCAUUAGAAAAGUUAUUCAUCUAAGAGCAUACAAGAUACAGCGCGCAAAAUGACCAAACUUCUGAUUGGCUGUAUAUUUGUUUGCAUAACGCUGAUUCUUGGCGAGCGUCCAGAAUGGUACCCAAAAAAUGCUUCCCUAUUCGAAAAGGCAUGCUUAGUAGAAAAUGGCAUGAGGCCUGAUCAGUGGGCUAGGAUACGGACAAUGCAUCUGGAGGAUACACCAUCGGAACGCGCGUUUCUACUUUGUCUUGUCAAGACUAAAAAUGUCUUUCGGCCUGAAAAAGGCUUCGAAGCGGAAAGAUUACGCCUGGGAUUCCAGCAGUCAAUCAAAAUGGAUUGUGAUAUUGAGCAUAUCGAGCAUUGCAAACAGCUGUAUGGACAUUUGAAACCAGACGAUGUUAUGGUUUUCCAAAUUAUCAAAUGUAUAUGUGAUGUCAAGGACGAGAAGUGUCGUAUACCCAUUAAAAAUGAGUUGUG
rnacentral:sRNA from 1 species